rnacentral:rRNA from 1 species
CCUACGGGUGGCAGCAGUGGGGCAUAUUGCACAAUGUGCGCAAGCCUGAUGCAUCGACGCCGCGUGCGGGAUGGUGGCCUUCGGGUUGUAAACAGCUUUUGUUCAAGGGCAAGGCACGGUCUUUGUCCGCGUUGAGUGGAACGUUCGAAUUAGCACUGGCUACCUACGUGGCAGCAGCCGCGGUAAUACGUAGGGUGCAAGCGUUAUCCGGAUUUAUUGGGCGUAAAGGGCUCGUAGGCGGUUCGUCGCGUUCGGUGUGAAAGUCCACCGCUUAACGGGGGAUCCGCGCCUGGUACGGGCGGGCUUGAGAGGGGUAGGGGAGACUGGAAUUCCCGGUGUAACGGUGGAAUGUGUAGAUAUCGGGAAGAACACCAAUGGCGAAGGCAGGUCUCUGGGCUGUUGCUGACGCUGAGGGGCGAAAGCGUGGGGAGCGAACAGGAUUAGAUACCCCUGGUAGUC